rnacentral:rRNA from 1 species
GACGAACGCUGGCGGCGUGCCUAAUACAUGCAAGUCGAACGCUGAUGGCGGAGCUUGCUUCUCUGGAUGAGUUGCGAACGGGUGAGUAACUCGUAGGUAACCUGCCUGGUAGCGGGGGAUAACUAUUGGAAACGAUAGCUAAUACCGCAUAAGAGUAGAUGUCGCAUGACAUUUGCUUAAAAGGUGCACUUGCCUCACUACCACAUGGAGCUGCGUCGUAUUAGCUAGUUGGUGAGGUAAGGGCUCACCAAGGCAAAGAUACAUAGCCGACCUUAGAGGGGGAACGGCCACACUGGGAAUGAGACACGGCCCAGACCCCUAAGGGAGGCAGCAGUAGGGAAACUUCCGCAAAUGAAGGAAAGCUUAACGAGCAACGCCGCGGGAGGGAAGAAAGGUCUCGGAUCGUAAAGCUCCGUUUUAAGAGAAAAAAGAGUUUGAGAGUGAAAAGUUCACACUGUGACGGUACCUUACCAGAAAGGCACGGCUAACUACGUG